UGUUCUUUUGGAGUGAUCCUUUAAGCCAGACUAUUUCCCUAGUGAUGUUGUUUAAGGCAGCAAUAGGCUAAGUGAGGCGUGAUGGAUGGCCCCCAGCCUGGACCAGUGGCGACACAGGCCCAUUUGGUCCUGGCCAGGAAAACAGAAAGGUCAUUCAUUACCCAGUGUGAACAAACAGAGUGCACAUUUGUGAUAAAUAACAGUCAUUAUUGAACUACAAUGCUCUCUGGGAAUUCCUCAACACUUCCUUGACAUUAAUGUACUUUUCAUGGAGGGCUCAGCGAGGCUCUCUCUGUAAUAUUUAGUGCUUCAUGUUUUAUGUGGGAUACCACAGAGACACUGGCCUCUCCUUUGCCGGGAUGCAUGUGCCUGAACAAACACCAAAUAUCUUCUUUUCUCAUAUUGAUGCCAAGUCCGAUCCUCCUCAAUCAGAUGGACACACACACACAUGCACACACAUACUCCAUGUGCUAAGCAUGUAUAUCUAUCAAUGCAAGCAGAUAAUAACAAAAUGUAAUCCCCAAAAAUAUUGGAGAAAUGGUCCUUUCUGAGCUCUGACCUCUUCUGAGUAGGUGCUCAGUCACACAGGUAACAAUAUUACACCCAAGGCCAAUUUUUAAAAAGCAAUAUAAAAGAUAUUGUACCAAACAAAGAGAUCCCUCAGGGAAAUGAAAACUGCAGCUUCCACAUAAUCUUUGCCACUGUGCCUUCACACACGCUGCCGUCACUGCAGGCAAGACUUGUCACUCUCUCCCCCAGCAGUCGUCACCAGGCCAAUUCCCACUGGCGCGAGUCCAACACCAUCCUAUUUGAAGCCUUUCCAACACAUCCCACCCUAACCAUGUGCAUUUAGUCUCCCCCUCCUCUGGGUUUACACAGUGGCUCCUUGAGAGGCUAGAUACAGCACCUGUCGGGGUGCAUGGCAAUUGUCAGUUACAGGUCCACAAUGCAACCUGCUCGCUAUUUGGUGUGAAUCACGCACCAGGCACUGUGCAAAUGAAGAGGUCAGGCGCUGUAGAGAACAGACCUCAUCUACCUUGUUUCAGUCUAGUUGAAUUCUCCCCAUGGAGCAGCGAGGACUUAGGACCUCUUCAUUUGUGUAUUCCCAGAUGCUACCGACUACACCUGGUACAUCACAGUUGCAUAACACAUGCUGCUGUAAGAAAGGAUGAAGAGCUGUAUGGACAGAUAUUAAACAUCUUCCCUACUGUGUCACCCAGCUUUGAUUACUGCUUAUGAGAAAGUGACUUACCACUUGGAAACCCUAGGCUUUUAAACAUUUAAGAUGUGAAAGACAAUUGUUUUAUUUCAUAGGAUGCUUAGAAUAUAAAAUCCAUGAAUGUGUGUGAUACUCAGAGAAGAAAGGGCAUGUGGAAGAGAAAAAUCACAGACUCAUCAUGAAAAUGUAGCAGGGACUCCGUAUUAGUAGCAAAACAAAAACUAGUUAUUUUAUACUGAACAUAAGCCAAUUAUGCAUAAUUGACCUGACCUAAGGAUCCUGAGCUGAUUUAGGAAAUGACUGAAGGAAAAAUAUAUUUUGAUGGUAAGAAUGGUAUCUAAUAUUUCAAGAUAAAUAACACAAGACUAAAUAUCUCUUUUCAAGUGAUAUUGUAUUAUAUCAUACAUACGCAUACAUAUGAGGUAACGCACUAUCUUAUCGUCUCUUAAUAAAGAUAUUUUAAAAGUACUAUAUAAUGGGAAUGGCAUGUGCUCUAUUCUUAAAAUAACCCUCAAAGUAGAUAUCUACUUUAAUUUCUAUAAAGAUGGGACUAUCAGUGACAGCUUACAUUUCAUAAUAGAAAAUCUUUGUAUUUUAUCUACUUGAUAUUAAUAUUUAUAUAAUUUUGAUAAUGGUAUAAUCUAAUACUGGGAAGCAAAAAUAAAAGAUAGAUCCUUACACACACACACACACAAAUCUAUAUAUACACAGACACACAUUCCAGCAUAUAUUUAUACAAAUACACACAUAUAUGUCAAGAAACUAUCCCUACAGCCAGGGACCAUUUCCAUGUCCUGAAGAUUAGGAAUGUUACAGGAUAUCAAGAAGCCACAGGAAAAAUUUUCAAUGGUUAGAUGGGACCCAGAAGUCUGCUGCCAGACCCACAAGACUGGCAUCCUAGAUUCUGCCCACCCCCUCUCCCUCCUACUGUGUGAUGUGGGCUGUGAUAGUGAUGGAUGGAGGGAGAAGAUGGAGCCCAAGAAGGAACAAAGUACUGAAAGAUCCCAGUGGGAACCAGGAAUUGAAACUUUUUUCCCAACCUGUAUGAAAUUAUAUUAAAGGAUAAAAAUGGAAGUUCUGCUUUGAUCCCAUAUUUCUCAGAGUGAACAAGGUUAUGCUGCAGAAACAAAUAGUCCUCCAAAAACAGAAACUUCAAACAAGGUGUUGUCUGGCUCCCACUGCAAAUGUACCAGCUGGGAGAUCAGGCUCAGCAUCUUCCUCAUUUGGGGCUGAGGCUGAGGCUGAGGCUGAGGCUGAGGGAGGCUUCAUCUUCAGGAUUCUCUGACUGCAGAGGACAGGAAAGGGGCACACAGCACAGAUGCACUCACUCGUAAGGCUUCCACCUAAAGGGAGCACUACUCACACCCACUCCUAUUCCAGCUUCAUGCUAAGUCUCAGGGCCAUAUCCACUUUAGAAGGGGGCAGAAAACUGUAAUGCUACCCAGUGGUGCAGAGCUAAAAAUAUUUCUUGAACCACAGUAAUUACUACUUCAGUCACAAAAUAAUUUCAGGACAGGUUACGUUUUGUCACCAUCUGACCAAUUUUUUUAAAUUUCCAUUUUCAGAAAAUUUGGUAUUUGGGCAUUGGGUAUUGGGACUUUAGACUUACAAUGCUUAACAGAUAAGAAGUGGACUCCCUCAUCUAUGCUUACAAGAAAGGUUAUAUAGCGCAGUGGAAUAAAAAAGAAUUAAGGAUUUAAUAUGUGGAGAAAGAGACUGGGUGACCCCAGGAUUGCUGACAAAAGCUUCUCUGGGGUUAGGCGGGUCAGGUGAAAGGACAAAUGAAUUUUCUGGUGAUCCCCAGUGACCUGCAUUAAUCAUCAAUAACCUCCAUGUCAUUAUCAUGUCAGAUCCACUUUGCAUCACUGCAGGUUAAUCUCCUGGUGCCUCCAUGAUUUAAAUGUAUUUGCAUUGAUAUUCACCAUAUGCAACACACCAUGGGGGAGAAGGGUUGCUAUGGCAGAAAAAGGAUGAAAGUUUUUAGCAGAUACAAACUGGUGACUCUCCAGGAGAGAAACAAGUGAAGAGGCUUCUCCAGGCCACACUAUCCAAAAACUACACUCACCAAUAAUUUUUUCUAAUAUUUUAAUUUUUAGAAACCUAUUUAUCCUCUCAAAACUAUAUAAUGGUGGCCAAGAAUGUUUAAGCACUCUCUAAGUGCCAGGCACACUAAGUAAUUUACAUAGAUUAUUUCUAUGAAUCUUACAAAAUUAUGACUUUUACCUACAUUUUAUUAACAAGAUCAUAGAACCAUAGCAAUCGUAGAACUGCAAUCAAAUCUUGCUCUUACUCCAGCUUCGUGAAAUUGAGUUACUACACAAUACUGUCUCCUAUGUUAAGAAAAAAUUUUAACCAUAAUACACAUUGUAAAAUCAGCAAACAGUAGAUAUAGAAUACUUCAAAGUCCAUGUUUCCCCAUUUGUAUGUUCUAGUCUUUAUUAUUUUUAUGGAUCAUGACCAGAAGAAAAUUCAUUGCUUAGAUAACCACAGUAUCUAAUGCAAAAUCUGCAUUUUUCUGUAGUUGUCCUAUUUAUUCUAUGUUCCACAGGACCAGUCUUCUAUUGAAGUAUUUAACUUUCUAGACGUUAAAAUAAAAUCUGGGGAAAAUGGUUAGUCAACUGGAUUUCUCUUAUUUGGUGAUUACUAAGUGCUGAGACACUUGGGUGUGUAAUGCUAUUUUGUUUGUUUGUUUGUUUUAGGGCUUCAGCCACAGCACAUGGAAAUUCCCAGGCUAGGGGUUGAAUCAGAGCUACAGCUGCCAGCCUACACCAUGGCUACUUCAACUUAGGAUCAGAGCCAAGUCUGCGACCUACACCAGAGCUCAUGGCAACACCAGAUCCAUAACCCACUGAGUGAGGCCAGGGAUUGAACCCUUGUCCUCAUGGAUGCUAGUUGGGUUUGUUACAACUGAGCCAUGAUGGGAACUCUGCUACUGAUUUUUGAUAAACACCGCAGAGUCUCUGCACAUAAACAUUGGUUGGUAAGCUUUCUGGUGCAUCUUCAGGGUUAUCGUCUCACAUAUCACCCUCAGAGCAGACACUGGAGCCAGGGUUAGAGGAUAACAACUCCUUGUCACUACCCUGUAAUGCCUUAGUUUGCUAUUCUAUCAUUGUCCACCUCUUAGGACAGGCCGCUGGGCCACAUCUGAUGAAACUGAAUGUCUAAGAGCAUACUUCCUCCACUGUUCUGGGCUGUCUUAAAAGGGUCACAAGACUUAAAGAAGUCAGUUGGACCUCGUAUAGCUUAUGAACACUAUAGCAUCUAGUUAAGGAAUUAUAGUUCAUCUCUUGCAAAACUGAUUGUGGAGAAAUCACAAUUUUAUUGAAGUAUCUCGGUGACAGAAAAUUCUCUCAGUGGAAUGAACUUGCAUCUAGGUUUUUCCAUACUGCAUGGAGAAUCAUCUUCGAUGUAAAUUUUGAUUUGCUUUGACUUGACUAUCUUAACCUGGUGGUAGAAGUCUCUGUGGGGUUUGUAAGUGAGCAUUGCUUACUGUCAUUUGAAGUACAAUCCUGCUAGCCAAGGAAGCAAACAAAUGGAAAUUCAACCUGACUUCCCGGAUGGAAUGAACUUGUUCAUCUAUAAAUAUGACAAGUAUUCCCCCCCCACCGCUUUUUUUUUUCUGGCCGCACCUUGGCACAUGGAAGUUCCGGGGCCAGAGACUGAACUCGAGCCACAGCUGCAACCCACACCACUGCUGCAGCAAUGCCAGAUUCUCAACCCACUGCACUGGGCCAGGGAUUGAACCUGUGCCUCAGCAGCGACCCAAACUGCUACAGAGACAACGCCAGAUCCUUAACCUGCUAUGCCAAAGCGGGAACCAACAAGACAAGUAUUUUCGACAAAAAAGUCCAGAAAAAAUUUUAAAUAACUCAACAGGAAUACGUUAGUCUGAUUUAUGAGACUACACGUGGUCUUCUGACCCAAAUCUCACAAAUGUCAACUAAUUUUUUUAAAAAAACUGAUAUAUUAUAGACUUUCCGUGUGUCUCACAAUGAAAAAAACUGAUAUGUUAUACAUAUAUCAAAUCACCACAAUAUAUACUUUAAGUAUCUUACAAUUUUAUGUAUCAAAUAUACCCCAAUAAAGCUUAAAUUAAAAUAUGAAAUCAAUUAAAAAUACUUUGUUAAAUCCACUGACACAUAUCAAUCAGUCAGUUUGCAGAACAGACAAAUUCAAGAACUGAAGAUAAUUCUCUGUUGUCCUACUUCAUCAAUUUCUACUUGCAUUGUGAAUCCAUGUAAAUUUUAUCUUCAUGAUGGUUUGGGGUUUUUUUGUUUGUUUGUUUCUGGAGGGGGAGUUGUUUUAUUUUGCUUUGUUGUACUUUUAUAUCUAGUGUACAAAAACCAAAAAGAAUAUAAAUAACUACAAUAAGCUUUACGUUCCAUCACUAUUGCUAAGUUAAAAAUGUACUUUGUUUUAAUGAUGUGUAUUUCUUAUACCAAAAACAUAUAACAUGUUAAGCUCUACUUACUCCUUUGCAUUGAGUAAUAUGAUUUCAUUAAUGAAUAACUUUUGGACAUCUAGUCAUUAACUCCGACACCAUCAGUCUCCCAACAUAAUCAAAACACCAGGAACAAAGUGCACAAAAUGGGAUGGGGUGAAGGGUGGAAAAUAGAUGACCUGGGAAAAAAAAAAGAAAGAAAGAAAGAAAAGAAAAAAAGGAGUUCCUGUCAUGGCACAGUGGAAACAAUCUGACUAAGAACCAAGAGGUUGUGGAUUCAAUCCCCGGCCUUGCUCAGUGGGUUAAGGAUCCGGCAUUGCCAUGAGCUGAGGUGCAGGUUGCAGACGAGGCUUGCAUCCUACAUUGCUGUGGCUGUGGUGUAGGCUGGCAGCUGCAGCUCCAAUUCGACCCCUGGCCUGGGAAGCUCCAU
rnacentral:lncRNA from 1 species